UGGGGAAUAUUGGACAAUGGGCGAAAGCCUGAUCCAGCCAUGACGCGUGUGUGAAGAAGGGCUGCGGAUUGUAAAGCACUUGAAGUUGGGAGGAAGGGCAGUAAGCGAAUACCUUGCUGUUUUGACGUUACCGACAGAAUAAGCACCGGCUAACGCUGUGCCAGCAGCCGGGGUAAUACAGAGGGUGCAAGCGUUAAUCGGAAUUACUGGGCGUAAAGCGCGCGUAGGUGGUUCGUUAAGUUGAAUGUGAAAGCCCCGGGCUCAACCUGGUAACUGCAUCCAAAACUGGCUCGCUAGAGUAGGGCAGAGGGUGGUGGAAUUUCCUGUGUAGCGGUGAAAUGCGUAGAUAUAGGAAGGAACACCAGUGGCGAAGGCGACCACCUGGGCUCAUACUGACACUGAGGUGCGAACGCGUGGGGAGCAAACAGG
rnacentral:rRNA from 1 species